rnacentral:lncRNA from 10 species
CUUCACACUUACAUAAGAGGAAAAAGAAGCCAGAGGAUGGAGUGUCACCUCAUCUGGUCAUCUUUUCUUGCCCUGUUAGAAUCAAGACAGCAGAGCAUAGCAAGCUUCAGAUGGCUUGUCUGGCUGGUCUGAGUCUCUUUAGGAUUAAAUGAGGCCUCUGUUGAUGGAGAUCCUUUGUUUCACUAUUAGCAUUAGGCUAAUAAGUUUCAGUAUUUUCUAAACCCCGUUUUAGGGUAUGUCUCCUGGUUGUUGGUGAUGUUGAAUUACAGGGUGUCCUACAGAGAGUAGCAGAAAUGUAGCUGUGUCUUCCAAGUAUUUGCUAUGAGUCCUCAGUGGCAGAUGUCUGUGAGCUGUAGCAUAAGAUGCAUUCAUGUAACAAAUAUCUAUUGCGUGCCUGCCGCAUGUGAAUACAAGGCGAAAGGUCCCUGCUUUCAUGAAAUUUCAUUGUAUUUCAUUGUAUUAAUUUCAUUGAAAGUAAUAAUCAAUUUCAAAUAAGGAUGAUUUGGCCUUGCACUUGAAAGAAGCAAAAC